CAGCUAAACAACACAAGCUUAAUUUAACGGUCCACUAUAUUAGUGUGGAUCGUUUUAUUUGCCCAGAAUGUUGUUUAUUUAAUGAGCUCAGACUUACCUUUUAUUUUGACCCAAUCCCAUCAGGUGUUGUCAGCUAGCAAGUGAGGCUAACGUGAGUUAGCUAAAAUCGCCCCUAGCAUCUCUCUGCCCCGCCGAAGAUAAGCUGACUGGGUUGAUUCUAUUAUUCAUUUUCUGUAUUUUGUAUUUUUCUUUUAAAUUAACUUUAUCGUCACCACAUCUAUUUAUUUGAUUUGAACACCAAUUUAUACCAUCUUGAAAAAGCUAGCUUAGCGACGAGCUGUCGUCUACUGACACAUGCGUCUCACCAGACGUUCUCCAGCAAAGACGGAGAACCUUGAGGAGUUGGUUUGAAAGCAGAGGAAGUGCUGACCGGACAUGUGGGCUGUGAAGCUGAAUUUAGCGACGAUGCCGAAGCGCUUGGUCAUCAAAAGCUGCCGAGAGGAGUUUCUUUACCUCGUGGUUUGGGUCUUUGACCGUCACAGUGACACCGAGGUGAGGAGAGUGGGUGGAGGACUUUGAGUCCCACGGCGCCAGCAGGAAAUGUCCUAAGGAUAAAAGGGCUCACCUGUCACCAGCAUGUCUUCAGGAAUCUCCUCAAUGAUGCAUCUUUCCUCCUGCUCGCCCAGAUCAAAAUACAUGGCCGAUGCCAACAUUAGGAGCUCUGAAAGACCUGGGUUUGAAUCUGCGCUUGGGCAUCCCUGUGUGGAGUUUGCAGAAUCUCCCUCCUCCCGGUUUCCUUCCACAUUCCAAAAACAUCCCACGACCCAGGUGAGAAUCAGGGACAUAGUAAAUGGAUGGAUCUUAAUGAGUUUCAAAUGCAAAAACAAGAAAUGGGAGUGAAACAAAACACAAAAUUGUUUUGAGUAUGCUUGAUGCUAGCGUUUCCAGGAGGCUAGUGGGAAGUGGUAAAGAUGGCUCCACUGUCUGGAACUGAUGUUCCUUUGAUUAAACGUCUUUUGCCAUACAUCCCUAAAUGUUCUCAAUUGGGUUCUCAAUCAGGGAAACAUGCAGGAUGGUCCAAAAGUGUGACGUUGUUCCUCUGGAAGAAGUCAUUACCACACAGACGAGGGCCUCUAGUAAUAUGGGAUGCCUCCUGCAACAUUUCCACACGCAGUUUGACACCCCUAACAUGAAGCUCCAUUGUUCCAUUGAAGGAAAAAGAACCAGAUACUGUAAUGAUUGUACCGACUCCACUGUGACAUAUCUCAGUGGGAUCUCCUUGCCAUGCCAGGAACAUUGAAAGGCAUCAUGGCAUCAGGGCUGUCAAGGUUACCAACAUUUUCUUGCGCCUGUCUUAGUGCUUGCAACCUCAGCAGCCAUGGUGCGCUGCGAGAGGCCUUGCUUAUGCAGCUCAAAAGCUUGUUUGCCUUUGCCACCAAGAGAUCAUGAUGGUGUGAAUACAUGAUAAA